rnacentral:rRNA from 1 species
GACGAACGCUGGCGGCGUGCUUAACACAUGCAAGUCGAACGGAAAGGCCCUGCUUUUGUGGGGUGCUCGAGUGGCGAACGGGUGAGUAACACGUGAGUAACCUGCCCUUGACUUUGGGAUAACUUCAGGAAACUGGGGCUAAUACCGGAUAGGAGCUCCUGCUGCAUGGUGGGGGUUGGAAAGUUUCGGCGGUUGGGGAUGGACUCGCGGCUUAUCAGCUUGUUGGUGGGGUAGUGGCUUACCAAGGCUUUGACGGGUAGCCGGCCUGAGAGGGUGACCGGCGACAUUGGGACUGAGAUACGGCCCAGACUCCUACGGGAGGCAGCAGUGGGGAAUAUUGCACAAUGGGCGGAAGCCUGAUGCAGCAACGCCGCGGGCGGGAUGACGGCCUUCGGGUUGUAAACCGCUUUCGCCGGUGACGAAGCGUGAGUGACGGUAAUGGGUAAAGAAGCACCGGCUAACUACGUG